rnacentral:misc_RNA from 1 species
AAGUCGUAACAAGGUUUCCGUAGGUGAACCUGCGGAAGGAUCAUCAUUGGUAUUUUUUUUGUUUGUUGGGUGAUGUGUUGGAGGAGGGGAGGGGGGUGUGAGGAUCCCCCUUCACACCACACACACACACACACGCCAACAACCCAUUGAAUCCCAUUGAAUCCCAGCAAAAACAGACAGCAGAGGGGGAACAUGGCUGAGACAGAAGCGAGGAAAACAGAAACAACUUUCAACAACGGAUCUCUUGGCUCUCA